rnacentral:rRNA from 1 species
UACGAAGGGGGCUAGCGUUGCUCGGAAUUAUUGGGCGUAAAGAGCUUGUAGGCGGUUUGUCGCGUCUGCUGUGAAAAUCCGGGGCUCAACCCCGGACUUGCAGUGGGUACGGGCAGACUAGAGUGUGGUAGGGGAGACUGGAAUUCCUGGUGUAGCGGUGAAAUGCGCAGAUAUCAGGAGGAACACCGAUGGCGAAGGCAGAUCUCUGGACCGUCACUGACUCUGAUCUGCGAAAGCUAGGGGAGCAAACAGG